AUGGACGACUACCUCAAGCUACAUCUAGUUCCUCCCGAAGAUCAAGUGAAGUGCGCCACAAGAAACUUCCACGACUACGCCUCGACAUGGUGGCUCCACACACCUUCGGAAACCUACGACAUGAGUUGGCCCAAGACGAAGAAAGCUUUGCGGCGAGAAUUUGUGCCUCCAACCUACACGGAACAACUUCUACGCCAAUUGGAGAACACCAACCAAGGAUCCAAGUCCAUCGACGAGUACUUCAAGGAGAUGAAAAAAUCCUUGCGACGAGCCGGCGUGGACGACCCCAUGUCAAUGAAGUUCCACUUCAUGAUGGGAUUGAACAAUGCCAUCUCCAAGACUAUCUUCCUCGAGAACUACAAGUCCCUCGACGACAACUACAUUGGCGCUCUCAAGGCGGAACAAGAACUCAUGAAGACCAAGGCUUCUCCACCCCAAGCACACUUCUCGAAGACCAAGCUCAAAGACGACGAGCAUGAGGCUAGUACCACCAAGAUGUCCAAGCCCGACGAGCUCCAAGACGAUGCUCCCAAGUUCGACUUCACCGCCUUCCCUCUUUGUGGCAUUGAUGAUGCCGAGUCCUCCACGACUCUUUUUCAAGAUGGUGCGGCGACGAGUACGACUACGGAGACCUUCAAGGACCAAGCUUUUGAGGCAAGCGACAUGGUGACGAGCAAGGAUGAUGCUUCCAUCUUAGGAGGCGAGAGUGAUGAUGUGCCAUCUUCGGCUUUCAUCCACGACGACGGCGAUGAGAUGGUUGAGUAUUUCACUUCGACCACGGCGACGUAUGAUGACUUGAGUGACUUGUGCCACCAUAUUGAGAGUGAGAGUGACUUCACCACUAGCCCCAUAUCCGAUGUGUUGCCCCAAUUCCCAUGUGAGGAGAGCCACAACCCCCACCACUUGAGUGAGAUGAGUGACUCCACCAUACGUGCGAUUGAGUGCACCUACUUUGAGGGAGUGAGUGAACCACCACAUAGAGAGAGUGAGGCCACUUCGAUUUCUAACGACUUAACCUCUACCUCUAUUGUGUCUUCUCAUUUGGUGCUAGGUCUCAUUUGUGAUGACGCGCCGAUUCACGACGACUUCGUCCUUCCUAUGGACAUGACGAUGGCCAUGGUGGAAUAUGAUGCACCCCCCACAUGGUUCCAUCAAGAUGAAGAUGACCACCAUUUGGUCUUUCCCACCUCACCUACACCACUUGAUUGGAAUGACAAAGGUAACAUAGGUGACGGUGAUGCUCUAGUCCCACUAGUGGACAUUCUUGACAUUGAUUGCUUGCAUGAUGUUGAUCCACCUAUUACCUUGCUUCAUGCUAGUGAGAUUUCCCCAUGGGAUGAUUUACCCAUUUAUGAUGAGUAUGAUGAUUGCCAUGUGGAGUCUAUUAGUUGUGAUGCCAUGUUACAUAGGAUUUCUUGUGACAAUUCUUUAGGUCACAUCAUGUUUGACAGUCCGCUUGACUUGUCAUAUGCUAUGCAUGAGAUCAAUCAUAUGUCAUAUUUGCAAUCUCUUCGUAGUGACUAUGCAUAUGCCAGUAAAAUUAACCCAAUUUGCACAUAUGGCAUAGAUGACAAGCCCAUGGUUAUUGGCAUUUGUUUUUCUUGUGACGAUAUUGACAUGCCCCCUUUGCAUCAUUUAUCUCAUAUGCCAUGCCAUGACCACCUAGCUUCGGAUAUGCAUUGUUGUGGAUGUUGUCCAUUUUCUCCAUAUGAUUACAAUAUUGCUCAUGAGGAGACCCCCAUAGUUUCCUCAUACAUUUUAGGAGAUUUUGAUCCAUCCUAUCCAUUGCAUGAUCCCAAUAAUUAUGUGCACAAUAUGCUCCCCAUGAAUCAUAAUGAUAUUGUUGUGCCAUAUACUAGUAUGCUCAAUUAG
rnacentral:rRNA from 1 species